GGUGGAUGUAGCUCAGUUGGCUAGAGCACUGGUUUGUGGCACCAGGGGUCAAGGGUUCGAGCCCCUCCUUCCACCC
rnacentral:tRNA from 1 species